GACGAACGCUGGCGGCGUGCUUAACACAUGCAAGUCGAGCGGUAAGGCCCUUUCGGGGGUACACGAGCGGCGAACGGGUGAGUAACACGUGGGUGACCUGCCCUCAGCUCUGGGAUAAGCCUGGGAAACCGGGUCUAAUACCGGAUAUGACUCCAUGACGCAUGUUGUGGGGUGGAAAGCCUUGUGCGGCUGAGGAUGGGCCCGCGGCCUAUCAGCUUGUUGGUGGGGGUGAUGGCCUACCAAGGCGACGACGGGUAGCCGGCCUGAGAGGGCGACCGGCCACA
rnacentral:rRNA from 1 species